rnacentral:rRNA from 1 species
GAUGAACGCUGGCGGCGUGCCUAAUACAUGCAAGUAGAACGCUGAAGGAGGAGCUUGCUCUUCUGGAUGAGUUGCUAACGGGUGAGUAACGCGUAGGUAACCUGCCUGGUAGCGGGGGAUAACUAUUGGAAACGAUAGCUAAUACCGCAUGACAACAGUUAUUGCAUGAUAACUGUUUAAAAGGGGCAACUGCUCCACUACCAGAUGGACCUGCGUUGUAUUAGCUAGUUGGUGAGGUAACGGCUCACCAAGGCGACGAUACAUAGCCGACCUGAGAGGGUGAUCGGCCACACUGGGACUGAGACACGGCCCAGACUCCUACGGGAGGCAGCAGUAGGGAAUCUUCGGCAAUGGACGGAAGUCUGACCGAGCAACGCCGCGUGAGUGAAGAAGGUUUUCGGAUCGUAAAGCUCUGUUGUAAGAGAAGAACGAGUGUGAGAGUGGAAAGUUCACACUGUGACGGUAUCUUACCAGAAAGGGACGGCUAACUACGUG